CAGCCGACUAUCAACCAGUACUCCCAGCUCCCUCUCGGCCAUUUAUUGAGCGGAGCCCGCUCAUCAUGACCCAACAACUCCCACCUCAGCACAGUGGGAUUCUAGAAAACAUUUUGAAGUUUUUCCUGGAAGAACAGCUUUAUCAAGUAGCAGCACAUCCAGUAGAAAAGAGAAGGCCCUUUGGACACAUGAUGACUGCAGCAGGGAUGAUUGUAAAGAGAAGCUAUACCUGCGGUUUUACCAACAGAUGCAGAAAGAAUAUGAUGGAGAGAGACCUGACUGUGUCAUUGUUGCCAUCAGCAAGGAGCAAAAGUAGUUUCUAUUACAAUCUUUCAGCUAAUUCUCUUACAGAAACGAUAGCUACAUAGGUAUUCACAUUAAACCAGUGCAGCACCAACAGGAAGCUAAACUGAAGUCUUUACUUAACUAAGAAGGUACCACUGACACAACUGGCCGUAGUGGAAGUCCUGUUACUGUGAGUACAUUCACCUUCUGUUGCACUCCAUCCCAUGACAAUUUCUGAAAAUUUAAGAAGGCUUUUUCAUUAAAACCAUUGUUCAUGAGUGUCAGUGUCGUAGCUACAUAAUUUUAAAGUAGAAGCUGUUAAACAGUCACAAAAAUAAGGUUGCCUACCUUACGUAGUUGUCAUCAGUUUCAUUUUGUGGUUGAACUUCAUCUGACUUAUUCAAGUUCAGAUGUGCAGGUCCAGUCAGAUGUUGUUUUCAGGAUAUAGUAGAGCAUGGAUGGAAUUUCUUUGAAUGUGUGAGGUUGAUUUUUUUUUUUUUGUAUUUUCUUAGAGAGAGAUGAAGAUGAAAAGACUGACUUUAGCCUCAACUAAAAUUGCUGGUGUUGUUCUCACAUAACUAACGGCUUUGAAAAAGUUUUAAAUUCAUGUCUUUAAUUUGCUUGAAAAUGAUUUGUUGUAUUUUCAUUUCUUUUUACUUCCAUUGUAUCUUGAAGUUGUAACAGUGGAAAAAAAAUAAGGAAAAUAUUGAAAUAACUGUAGUUAAAAAAGCCAUUUAGUUAUGAUGUAUCACCUUAAUAUGUAGUUACCUACAGGCCAGUCAAAUACCAGGUUUGAAAAAUAUUUAAUAGCCAUUCUACUGAAACAUCAAGUAUACUUGGAUUUAAUACAUGAAAAAUAAACAGCAGCUACUCUCCA
rnacentral:lncRNA from 1 species